UGGGGAAUAUUGCACAAUGGGCGAAAGCCUGAUGCAGCCAUGCCGCGUGUAUGAAGAAGGCCUUCGGGUUGUAAAGUACUUUCAGUAGGGAGGAAAGGUGUGUCGUUAAUAGCGGCAUACUGUGACGUUACCUACAGAAGAAGCACCGGCUAACUCCGUGCCAGCAGCCGCGGUAAUACGGAGGGUGCAAGCGUUAAUCGGAAUUACUGGGCGUAAAGCGCGCGUAGGUGGUUAUUUAAGCUAGAUGUGAAAGCCCAGGGCUCAACCUUGGAACUGCAUUUAGAACUGGGUAGCUAGAGUACAGUAGAGGGUAGUGGAAUUUCUUGUGUAGCGGUGAAAUGCGUAGAUAU
rnacentral:rRNA from 1 species